AGAUGUGCAGGAAAUGCGUGCAUCUGGGAGCCUGGGACAGAGCAGCAACAACAACUGGAAGAGAGGGGAAGGGAAAACAGCAGCGACCUUGACAGAACAAAAGGAGAGAGAGGCCGGGACACGGGGAGGCACACAGCAGCGAUAAGCAGAACAGGAAGUCAGCCGCCGGGCAGCCAGAGACCAGGGGAGGGGGCAGGCUCCACUCUCCCGCAGGACGAUGCUGCCUUGUCCCGAGUGCCGAGGGGCAGGUGGUGGACAGGGGAGUGAAGAACCAGAGGGCAGGUUUAAGGGGCUGACGACUCUUUGAAGAAUCUUCCCGGAUGGAAGGUGUCAGCGGGGAACCCUCUCGACCUUCAAACCAGCUUACAGGAUCGUUCCGCCAACCUGUCUACCUGCAUCGCACUCUCUCUGUAACCGUGACACUUCACUCUGUAUUGUUUUCCCCUGUACUACCUCGGCGCACUGUGUAAUGAAAUGAUCUGUACAAACAGCAUGCAAGACAAGUUUUUCACUGUACCUUGGUACA